UACGUAGGGUGCGAGCGUUGUCCGGAAUUAUUGGGCGUAAAGGGCUCGUAGGCGGUCUGUCGCGUCGGGAGUGAAAACUCAGGGCUUAACCCUGAGCCUGCUUCUGAUACGGGCAGACUAGAGGUAUGCAGGGGAGAACGGAAUUCCUGGUGUAGCGGUGAAAUGCGCAGAUAUCAGGAGGAACACCGGUGGCGAAGGCGGUUCUCUGGGCAUUACCUGACGCUGAGGAGCGAAAGUGUGGGGAGCGAACAGG
rnacentral:rRNA from 1 species